rnacentral:rRNA from 1 species
AGAGUUUGAUUAUGGCUCAGGACGAACGCUGGCGGCGUGCUUAACACAUGCAAGUCGAACGGAGGUUAUUUGAAACUUAGUGAUAGAUAACCUUAGUGGCGGACGGGUGAGCAACGCGUGGAUAACCUGCCUACAUGCCUGGGACAACACCGGGAAACUGGUGCUAAUACCGGAUACGCUCUUGUAUGCACAUGCAUAUAAGAGGAAAGGAGCAAUCCGCAUAUAGAUGGGUCCGCGUCCCAUUAGCUAGUUGGAGGUGUAAGAGACCCCCAAGGCGACGAUGGGUAGCCGGCCUGAGAGGGUGGACGGCCACACUGGAACUGAGACACGGUCCAGACUCCUACGGGAGGCAGCAGUGGGGAAUCUUCCGCAAUGGGCGAAAAACGCCUGACGGAGCAACGCCGCGUGAGUGAAGAAGGCCGUUCGGGUACGUAAAACUCUGUCUUCGAGGGAAAGAAAAAAUGACGGUACCUGAGGAGGAACGCCCGGCUAACUACGUGCCAGCCGCGGC